UGCAGAAUACAUGAUGAUCUCAAUCCAACUUGAACUCUCUCACUGAUUACUUGAUGACAAUAAAAUAUCUGAUAUUCUGCA
rnacentral:snoRNA from 1 species